rnacentral:misc_RNA from 1 species
UAAUAGGUGUUUUAUGGCCACUUUUUAAAUCCAUAUCCACCUUGUGUGCAAUGUCAGUCGAUCUUCUUCAUGGAGAUCGACCAAACAUCAACCUUUAUCUUUUAACUCUUUGUCUGAAAAAUAUUAUGAAUAAACAAUUCAAAAUA